AGCGAACGCUGGCGGCAGGCCUAACACAUGCAAGUCGAACGAACCUUUCGGGGUUAGUGGCGGACGGGUGAGUAACACGUGGGAACGUGCCUUUAUGUUCGGAAUAACUCAGGGAAACUUGUGCUAAUACCGAAUGUGCCCUUCGGGGGAAAGAUUUAUCGCCUUUAGAGCGGCCGGCGUCUGAUUAGCUGGUUGGUUGAGGUAAUGGCUCACCAAGGCGGCGAUCAGUAGCUGGUAUGAGAGGAUGGUCAGAACCAUUGGGGCUGGGACACGGCCCAAAUCCUUAGGGAGGGGCGAAAGGGGGAUGGUGCCACACGGGGUGAGAGACGAAGGUCUCCGGACCGUGAAAAUGAGUAAGGUGUGAGGAAUAUAAAUUUUUUUCACCGGGGACAUUAUGGCGGGACCCAAGCAGAAAGCCCCCGCUAACUUCGUG
rnacentral:rRNA from 1 species